rnacentral:rRNA from 1 species
GCAUUAUACCGUGAAACUGCGAAUGGCUCAUUAAAUCAGUUAUCGUUUAUUUGAUAAUACCUUACUACUUGGAUAACCGUGGUAAUUCUAGAGCUAAUACAUGCUGAAAAUCCCGACUUCGGAAGGGAUGUGCUUAUUAGAUAAAAAACCAAUGCCCUUCGGGGCUCUUUGGUGAUUCAUGAUAAUUUUACGGAUCGCAUAGCCUUGCGCUGGCGACGGUUCAUUCAAAUUUCUGCCCUAUCAACUUUCGAUGGUAAGGUAUUGGCUUACCAUGGUUUCAACGGGUAACGGGGAAUUAGGGUUCGAUUCCGGAGAGGGAGCCUGAGAAACGGCUACCACAUCCAAGGAAGGCAGCAGGCGCGCAAAUUACCCAAUCCCGACACGGGGAGGUAGUGACAAUAAAUACUGAUACAGGGCUCUUUUGGGUCUUGUAAUUGGAAUGAGUACAAUUUAAACCUCUUAACGAGGAACAAUUGGAGGGCAAGUCUGGUGCCAGCAGCCGCGGUAAUUCCAGCUCCAAUAGCGUAUAUUAAAGUUGUUGCAGUUAAAAAGCUCGUAGUUGAAACUUGGGCCUGGCUGGCGGGUCCGCCUCACCGCGUGCACUCGUCCGGCCGGGCCUUCCUUCUGAAGAACCUCAUGCCCUUCACUGGGCGUGUUGGGGAAUCAGGACUUUUACUUUGAAAAAAUUAGAGUGUUCAAAGCAGGCCUUUGCUCGAAUACGUUAGCAUGGAAUAAUAAAAUAGGGCGUGCGUUUCUAUUUUGUUGGUUUCUAGAGACGCCGCAAUGAUUAACAGGAACAGUCGGGGGCAUCAGUAUUCAGUUGUCAGAGGUGAAAUUCUUGGAUUUACUGAAGACUAACUACUG